GGCUAUUUCACGUUGAAACAUCGGUUCCCUUAUGAUCACCGAAGUUAAGCAACGUUAAACUUCGGUCAGUACCUAGAUGGGUGGCCGUUUGGGAAUACCAAGCGCUGUAAG